rnacentral:rRNA from 1 species
GCGACAAGCGGUGGAGCAUGUGGUUUAAUUCGAUGAUACGCGAGGAACCUUACCUGGGCUCAAAUGUAUGUUGACGUAUUCUGAAAGGGAUACUUCUUCGGACAAUAUACAAGGUGCUGCAUGGUUGUCGUCAGCUCGUGCCGUGAGGUGUCGGGUUAAGUCCCAUAACGAGCGCAACCCCUAUCAUUAGUUGCCAUCAGGUCAAGCUGGGGACUCUAAUGAAACUGCCUACGCAAGUAGUGAGGAAGGUGGGGAUGACGUCAAAUCAGCACGGCCCUUACGUCCAGGGCUACACACGUGCUACAAUGGCCGAUACAGAGGGCAGCUACCUGGUGACAGGAUGCAAAUCUACCAAAGUCGGUCUCAGUUCGGAUCGGAGUCUGCAACCCGACUCCGUGAAGUUGGAUUCGCUAGUAAUCGCGCAUCAGCCAUGGCGCGGUGAAUACGUUCCCGGGCCUU